CCUGACUGCUAUCGGAUUGAUACUAAGCCAUGCGAGUCUUUGUAGUAAUACAAGGCAUACGGCUCAGUAACGCGUAGUCAACCUACCCUAUGGACAAGAAUAAUCUCGGGAAACUGAGCAUAAUUCUUGAUAGAUCAUAAUGCCUGGAAUGGUUUAUGGUUAAAAUGAUUCGUCGCCAUAGGAUGGGACUGCGGCCUAUCAGCUUGUUGGUGAGGUAAUGGCCCACCAAGGCGAUAACAGGUACGGGCUCUGAGAGGAGAAGCCCGGAGAUGGGUACUGAGACAAGGACCCAGGCCCUAUGGGGCGCAGCAGGCGAGAAAACUUUGCAAUGUGCGAAAGCACGACAAGGUUAGUCCGAGUGAUUUCUGCUAAAGAGAUCUUUUGCUAGUUAUAAAACCACUAGUGAAUAAGGGGUGGGCAAGUUCUGGUGUCAGCCGCCGCGGUAAAACCAGCACCUCAAGUGGUCAGGAGGAUUAUUGGGCCUAAAGCAUCCGUAGCCGGCUCUGUAAGUUUUCGGUUAAAUCCAUGUGCUCAACGCAUGGGCUGCCGAAAAUACUGCAUAGCUAGGGAGUGGGAGAGGUAGACGGUACUCGGUAGGAAGGGGUAAAAUCCUUUGAUCUAUCGAUGACCACCUGUGGCGAAGGCGGUCUACCAGAACACGUUCGACGGUGAGGGAUGAAAGCUGGGGGAGCAAACCGGAUUAGAUACCCGGGUAGUCCCAGCUGUAAACGAUGCAGACUCGAUGAUGCAUUGGCAUAUAGCCAGUGCAGUGUCGCAGGGAAGCCGUUAAGUCUGCCGCCUGGGAAGUACGUACGCAAGUAUGAAACUUAAAGGAAUUGGCGGGGGAGCACCACAAGGGGUGAAGCCUGCGGUUC
rnacentral:rRNA from 1 species